UACAGAGGGUGCAAGCGUUGUUCGGAAUUACUGGGCGUAAAGGGCGCGUAGGCGGUCUAGUAAGUCAGGUGUGAAAGCCCGGGGCUCAACUCCGGAAUUGCAUUUGAAACUGCUAGGCUAGAGUGCAGUAGAGGUUGGCGGAAUUCCUAGUGGAGAGGUGAAAUUCGUAGAUAUUAGGAGGAACACCGGUGGCGAAGGCGGCCAACUGGGCUGUAACUGACGCUGAGGCGCGAAAGCGUGGGUAGCAAACAGG
rnacentral:rRNA from 1 species